rnacentral:rRNA from 1 species
GGAGGUAGCUGCAAUAAAUCACAAUGCGGGACUAUCAGUCUUGCAAUUGGAUUGAGAACAAUGUACAACUCUUAUCGAUAAGCCAUUGGAGGGCAAGUCUGGUGCCAGCAGCCGCGGUAAUUCCAGCUCCAAUAGCGUAUAUUAACGUUGUUGCAGUUAAAAAGCUCGUAGUUGAAGUGUGGGUGAUCGCUGUUGUGAGACUUCGGUCUCUCGACAGUAAGUCACCCCCUUCCAGUAUCCAGUAGUGGGUAUUCACUUACUUACUACUGUGUGUUGGUCCUUUACUGUGAGAAAAUUAGAGUGUUCAAAGCAGGCGUUUGCUUGAAUAGAUUAGCAUGGAAUAAUAAUUGAAGGCUUUCGUGUUCGAUUUGAUUGGUUUGUUCAUGGAAGCAAGGUUAAAAGGAACAGUUGGGGGUAUUCAUAUUCACUAGUUAGAGGUGAAAUUCUCGGAUUUAUGGAAGAUGAACAAGUGCCGAAAAGC